CAGGCCUAACACAUGCAAGUCGAACGAGGUAGCAAUACCUAGUGGCAGACGGGUGAGUAACACGUGGUCAACCUGCCUUUGUGAGGGGGAUAACUAGCCGAAAGGUUAGCUAAUACCGCAUACGAUCGCUCUGGGGCAUCCCUAGGCGAUGAAAGGAGCAAUCCGCACGAAGAGGGGACUGCGUCCCAUUAGCUAGAUGGUGGGGUAAUGGCCUACCAUGGCUCCGAUGGGUAGCUGGUUUGAGAGAGCGACCAGCCACACUGGGACUGAGAAACGGCCCAGACUCCUACGGGAGGCAGCAGUGAGGAAUUUUCCGCAAUGGGCGAAAGCCUGACGGAGCGACGCCGCGUGUGGGAAGAAGGCCUUCGGGUCGUAAACCACUGUCGAAGGGGACGAUAAUGACGGUACCCUUGGAGGAAGCCCCGGCUAACUACGUGCCAGCAGCCGCGGUAAUACA
rnacentral:rRNA from 1 species